rnacentral:rRNA from 1 species
AGAGUUUGAUCAUGGCUCGGGAUAAACGCUGGCGGCGCACAUAAGACAUGCAAGUCGGAACGAACUUAACCAUUAGUUUACUAUUGGAGCGGUUAGUGGCGGACUGGUGAGUAACACGUAAGCAACCUGCCUAUCAGAGGGGGAACAACAGUUAGAAAUGACUGCUAAUACCGCAUAUGCCUUAGAAUCACAUGGUUCGAAAGGGAAAGGAGCAAUCCGCUGAUAGAUGGGCUUGCGU